rnacentral:rRNA from 1 species
UACGGAGGGGGCUAGCGUUGUUCGGAAUUACUGAGCGUAAAGCGCACGUAGGCGGCUUUGUAAGUUAGAGGUGAAAGCCCGGGGCUCAACUCCGGAAUUGCCUUUAAGACUGCAUCGCUAGAAUUGUGGAGAGGUAAGCGGAAUUCCGAGUGUAGAGGUGAAAUUCGUAGAUAUUCGGAAGAACACCAGUGGCGAAAGCGACUUACUGGACACAUAUUGACGCUGAGGUGCGAAAGCGUGGGGAGCAAACAGG